rnacentral:telomerase_RNA from 1 species
GCAUUUCGCCGGCUCGGUCUGUAGCGGUUUGCGGACUCUAUGGGCCGAGGCAACUAACCUAACCAUCUUCUUGGACCUCUUUCGCGGGGUGGCGGGUCGACUCUCGAGUCAGGAAAAAUUGAAACCCCGCACCAU